AUGGCUCAGGACGAACGCUGGCGGCGUGCUUAACACAUGCAAGUCGAACGGUAAGGCCCUUCGGGGUACACGAGUGGCGAACGGGUGAGUAACACGUGGGUGAUCUGCCCUGCACUUCGGGAUAAGCCUGGGAAACUGGGUCUAAUACCGGAUAGGACCAUGGACUUCACGGUUUGUGGUGGAAAGCUUUUGCGGUGUGGGAUGGGCCCGCGGCCUAUCAGCUUGUUGGUGGGGUAAUGGCCUACCAAGGCGACGACGGGUAGCCGGCCUGAGAGGGUGUCCGGCCACACUGGGACUGAGAUACGGCCCAGACUCCUACGGGAGGCAGCAGUGGGGAAUAUUGCACAAUGGGCGCAAGCCUGAUGCAGCGACGCCGCGUGAGGGAUGACGGCCUUCGGGUUGUAAACCUCUUUCAAUAGGGACGAAGCGCAAGUGACGGUACCUAUAGAAGAAGCACCGGCCAACUACGUG
rnacentral:rRNA from 1 species